CUGAUCUGUGAACUAAGAAUCACUCCAAUGAGUGGUAAACAUACUGGUUUUGUCAAGAAGAUGGUACUGAAGACAUCAGCCUCUGCAUUGUUAGAUUCAAUGAAGAGCUGCUAUCAACAGUGAGAAUUGCCUGUUCUCUUCCCAUCUGGACUUCAGACUGUAGAUCUCGAGGUUCUCAAGCAUUUAGCUUCAGGUUUGUGAUGUGCAAAAGAGGAAGAGCUUCAAUUCAACAACUGCACAUGGUUGGAGCAAAAGUUGUGCACUAGAAGCUAUAAAUCAACAAUUCAAUGAAAGACCCACUGAAGAUCUUGGAUACAGACAAGAAGAAGGAAAUCAAGAAGACCAACAA